UUCAUUCUAAUUUUUUUAGGAAAAUCGAAUCAUAUGGAAAUAUUAUAAACAGAGUAAGUUUCAUAUAUAAAAAAACAUGUAACUAAAACUGAAUCAAGUGCAAUUUUGGAUUUUCUGUCUCUCUUUCGAAUUCCCCUUUCUCUUCGGUCACGCUUCUCAUCUCAGGCUUCAAUGGCGAAGAUCGAAGAGUUGGACGAAUCCGCUGCCAAAUUGAGGCCGAAGAAGAAUCACCAGCCAAGUAGAUUCUUCGUCUUCGUUGAUUACAUUUUCCUCUUCCUCUUCAUCGUAUUCCUCUCUUUCAUCGUUUUCAAGAUUCUCGGCGUUUGAUUCCUCAAAUUAUACAAACACUUUUUGUUCUCAACAAGGUAUCAACAUCAUUCAUGUUCACUUCUUUUUUGUUUUAUUAUUAUUGUUAAAUUAAUAAUUGCACCAUAAAAUUGUUUUUAUGAUAGUAACGAGAGGGAAUGUGUUGACCUUUCUUUACUUUUGAUUUUUGCAUCAUAAAUGGAAAAGAAUUGAAUGACUUUUUGAUGUUGGCUUAUAUUUUGAUGAAAAGUUAUUGUAAUUUAUUCAUCCGAUGUCAAUGGUGACAUGAUUUACAUAUUUAUAAAAACAUAUUAUCUCAUAAUUUGGUCCAGGUAACCGAUCCCAUCUGAUAGGAAAAAACAUAUUAUCUCACUAGCAGAUAAAUUAUUUCCAGAAUUUUAACCCGUGACCUCAUGGUCACAAAGCAGAAACAUUAGAAUCACACAGAUUUGCAGAUAUUCAAACAAAGCAGAUGAGAUGACUUAUGAUGUUGAUAACCUGCCUUAUGUAACACAAUACCAGAAUAGCAUAAAAUCAAAUAUGCAAACUGAUAACCAAACAGAAAUUAGUAGAAACAAGUAGUUUUGAUCCACCCUACCCUCUUCAAGCUAAAACUGAGUACUUUUCUUCCAACCUACCCUCUUGCUCACAAACCACUCAAGGACUUAAACAACAGCUCUCACAAGCCAAAAAACAACAGCCACAUAGGGUCACUUUCCACAAGAUUAUGAAAUUGCUCUUUUUAAUGUAUAUUCACUCAAUACAGCAUAAGAGAGAUGAAAAGCGCACAAAGCCCUUCAAAAUUUGAAGAACUUUCAUGUCCAAUAUGUUUGAGUAGCCGCAAAUGUUCUCUUUUGUAGAUAUUUAAAAAUAUGAGAGGGGUUUUUAAUUGGUGGGUCCAAAAAGUACAGAAAGCAGAUUCCUUUCCAUUUCAAGAAUAAAGAGUGAAGUUUUGUUGAAACUUCCUAGGUGAUUUCUAUCCAUUUUGAGGAAAUAUUUAAUUUGUGUUAUGAAUGUUGGGGGUCAUUUUGGAACAAUCUAGAAACUUCCAAUGUGCAUUUUCCUUUUUCCACUUCCAACGUUUUGAUCAUAAGCACACUCUGGUUUGACCUUCAAUGAGCUUUUCUAGUUGUCAUAGGAUUGGCUUUUAUGCUUCUUGAUAUUCCUUUUUUCAUGAGACGGUCCAAUUUCACAUUCUUGAUUUUCAUUAACACAGUACUUGUAGAUGGAUUUCUCCUUUCUCGUGUUUGGCUGAAGACCUCUCCAUUCUCUGGCUCAAACUUGUUCUGUUCAAUGGAACAUUCAACUUCGUAGCUUGAGAACUUCAUUCAUUCUUUGGGAAAUCUGCAUAUUAUCCUUUGGACUAGAACUAAGUGUAAAUGUGCAAGUACAAUGUUAAGAAUAGUAAAAUGUUUAGAAGCAUCACUUAAAGGAUGCCAAGUUUGGAAACCUUGGGCUUACAAUUAAUGCUACACAGUCACACAUAUAUCACCUCACAUUUACAGUUUUCAUUAUCUGAUUACCGUUGGACAUGUUUUAUGCAUAUGCUCCAAUUUUGCCACCUCACUUCGCCAUGAGGUGACAUUUACUUUUGGACUUACUGAUCUAGCAUUAUCCCAUGAGCCCGUGAGCCCAUGACCAAAUAGAUGAAGAUUGUGAUAAAAAUGCAAGUAUUAAAUCCCUAUGUUUAGAAAGAUGGUGCUAAAGAGUAAAGUCAGAAAAGUUUUGUCGAUACUUUUUUAGUACAUUUUAGGUUUGUGGAAGACUCUGUUAUUACUCGAGUUCAUCAUAGGAGAUUGCAUGUAGGUAUGUAUGCUGUACUUCUAUUUUAUCUAUGUUUUGAAAACAAAUUUAUGUGAAGUUUACUAGCUCCAUACAAAAGUCAAUUUUCUCUCUUCUCAAACACUUCUCUCCACUUACUGUUACCAUUUAUUUUAACUUAACUUUCAUUUUUCUACAUUGUGGCAGGGCUCUCAUCUGACAUAGCUAAGCUUCCUUGAAUGAUCUAAUUCGCAGCUCGAAGGUAGUGGCAAUUGGGAGGUGUUAGUUUUGACCAGUUCUUAUGAUGUAAUACUUGAAUAUAAUCUUUCUCUGUGCUGAGAAACUUGUGCCCUCGAAUUCCAUAUUUUUCACUAUUCAUUUCCCAGCAUCAAUUGUCUUUCAUAUAUUUCUUGUGUCACAUUUGAUCUUUUCUACUUUUAUUACUUUCCUUUUACUUUACGCAAGAC
rnacentral:lncRNA from 1 species